rfam:Nadsonia fulvescens var. elongata DSM 6958 unplaced genomic scaffold NADFTscaffold_4, whole genome shotgun sequence.
GGCCCGAUGGUUUAGUGGUAUAAUUCUCGCUUAGGGUUUAAAAAACUUUGUCUGCGAGAGGUCCCGGGUUCAAUUCCCGGUUGGGCCC